rnacentral:rRNA from 1 species
CCUACGGGAGGCAGCAGUGGGGAAUAUUGCACAAUGGGGGAAACCCUGAUGCAGCGACGCCGCGUGAGUGAAGAAGUACUUCGUUAUGUAAAGCUCUAUCAGCAGGGAAGAAAAUGACGGUACCUGAGUAAGAAGCCCCGGCUAACUACGUGCCAGCAGCCGCGGUAAUACGUAGGGGGCAAGCGUUAUCCGGAUUUACUGGGUGUAAAGGGAGCGUAGACGGCAGUGCAAGUCUGGAGUGAAAGCCGGGGGCUCAACCCCCGGACUGCUCUGGAAACUGUACGGCUUGAGUGCAGGUGAGGUAAGUGGAAUUCCUGGUGUAGCGGUGAAAUGCGUAGAUAUUUGGAGGAACACCAGUGGCGAAGGCGGCUUACUGGACUGUAACUGACGUUGAGGCUCGAAAGCGUGGGGAGCAAACAGGAUUAGAUACCCGGGUAGUC